GAUGAAGAACGUAGCGAAAUGCGAUAAGUAAUGUGAAUUGCAGAAUUCAGUGAAUCAUCGAAUCUUUGAACGCACAUUGCGCCCCCUGGUAUUCCGGGGGGCAUGCCUGUUCGAGCGUCAUUUCACCUCUCAAGCCUCGCUUGGUAUUGGGCAACGCGGUCCGCCGCGUGCCUCAAAUCGACCGGCUGGGUCUUCUGUCCCCUAAGCGUUGUGGAAACUUUCGCUAAAGGGUGUUCGGGAGGCUACGCCGUAAAACAACCCCAUUUCUAAGGUUGACCUCGGAUCAGGUAGGGAUACCCGCUGAACUUAAGCAUAUCAAUAAGCGGAGGA
rnacentral:misc_RNA from 1 species